rnacentral:rRNA from 1 species
ACCUACGGGGGGCAGCAGUAGGGAAUUUUCGUCAAUGGGCGCAAGCCUGAACGAGCAAUGCCGCGUGAACGAGGAAGGUCUUCGGAUCGUAAAGUUCUGUUGCAGGGGAAAAAGAGCGGAGAGAGGAAAUGCUUUCUGAUUGAUAUUACCCUUCGAGGAAGUCACGGCUAACUACGUGCCAGCAGCCGCGGUAAUACGUAGGUGGCGAGCGUUAUCCGGAAUGAUUGGGCGUAAAGGGUGCGUAGGCGGCCUGCUAAGUCUGGAGUGAAAGGUACCGGCUCAACCGGUACAGGCUCUGGAAACCG